rnacentral:rRNA from 1 species
GACGAACGCUGGCGGCGUGCUUAACACAUGCAAGUCGAACGGUAAGGCCCUUCGGGGUACACGAGUGGCGAACGGGUGAGUAACACGUGGGUGAUCUGCCCUGCACUUCGGGAUAAGCCUGGGAAACUGGGUCUAAUACCGGAUAGGACCACUGCCUGCAUGGGUGGUGGUGGAAAGCUUUUGCGGUGUGGGAUGGGCCCGCGGCCUAUCAGCUUGUUGGUGGGGUGAUGGCCUACCGAGGCGACGACGGGUAGCCGGCCUGAGAGGGUGACCGGCCACACUGGGACUGAGAUACGGCCCAGACUCCUACGGGAGGCAGCAGUGGGGAAUAUUGCACAAUGGGCGCAAGCCUGAUGCAGCGACGCCGCGUGAGGGAUGACGGCCUUCGGGUUGUAAACCUCUUUCAGCUCCGACGAAGCGCAAGUGACGGUAGGUGCAGAAGAAGGACCGGCCAACUACGUGCCAGCCGCCGCGGUAA